GACGAACGCUGGCGGCGUGCUUAACACAUGCAAGUCGAACGUAAACGCCCUGCUUUUGUGGGGCGCUCGAGUGGCGAACGGGCGAGUAACACGUGAGUAACCUGCCCUUGACUUUGGGAUAACUUCAGGAAACUGGGGCUAACACCGGAUAGGAGCUCCUUCUGCAUGGUGGGGGUUGGAAAGUUUCGGCGGUUGGGGAUGGACUCGCGGCUUAUCAGCUUGUUGGUGGGGUAGUGGCAUACCAAGGCUUUGGCUGGUAGCCGGCCUGAGAGGGUGACCGGCCACAAUGGGGCUGAGAUACGGCGCAGAAUCGUACGGGAGACAGCAGUGGGGAAUAUUGCACGAUGGGCGGAAGGCUAAGACAGCAACGCCGCGUGCGGGAUGACGGCCUUCGGGUUGUAACCCGCUUUCGCCUGUGACGAAGCGUGAGUGACGGUAAUGGGUAAAGAAGCACCGGCUAACUACGUG
rnacentral:rRNA from 1 species